rnacentral:rRNA from 1 species
AUUGAACGCUGGCGGCAGGCCUAACACAUGCAAGUCGAACGGUAACAGGAAACAGCUUGCUGUUUCGCUGACGAGUGGCGGACGGGUGAGUAAUGUCUGGGAAACUGCCUGAUGGAGGGGGAUAACUACUGGAAACGGUAGCUAAUACCGCAUAACGUCGCAAGACCAAAGAGGGGGACCCUCGGGCCUCUUGCCAUCGGAUGUGCCCAGAUGGGAUUAGCUUGUUGGUGGGGUAACGGCUCACCAAGGCGACGAUCCCUAGCGGGUCUGAGAGGAUGACCAGCCACGCUGGAACUGAGACACGGUCCAGACUCCUACGGGAGGCAGCAGUGGGGAAUAUUGCACAAUGGGCGCAAGCCUGAUGCAGCCAUGCCGCGUGUAUGAAGAAGGCCGUCGGGUUGUAAAGUACUUUCAGCGGGGAGGAAGGGAGUAAAGUUAAUACCUUUGCUCAUUGACGUUACCCGCAGAAGAAGCACCGGCUAACUCCGUGC